rnacentral:rRNA from 1 species
UACCAGCACCCCCGAGUGGUUGGGACGAUUAUUGGGCCUAAAGCAUCCGUAGCCGGUCCUACAAGUCUUCCGUUAAAUCCACCUGCUUAACAGAUGGGCUGCGGAAGAUACUAUAGGGCUAGGAGGCGGGAGAGGCAAGCGGUACUCAGUGGGUAGGGGUAAAAUCCUCUGAUCCAUUGAAGACCACCAGUGGCGAAGGCGGCUUGCCAGAACGCGCUCGACGGUGAGGGAUGAAAGCUGGGGGAGCAAACCGG